rnacentral:rRNA from 1 species
UCUAUCUUUUAAAAUUAAAAAUAUUUUAGUACGAAAGGAUUGAAUAUUUUAAUUAAAUUAAUAAAAUUUGAUUAUUAUUAAAUUUAUGUAUAAAAAAAAAUAUAUUGUUAUAAUUUAUUUGAGUUUAUUUUUGAA